UACGGAGGAUGCGAGCGUUAUCCGGAUUUAUUGGGUUUAAAGGGUGCGUAGGCGGCUGUCAAGUCAGCGGUAAAAUUGAGAGGCUCAACCUCUUCCCGCCGUUGAAACUGGUGGUCUUGAGUGGAUGAGAAGUACGCGGAAUGCGUGGUGUAGCGGUGAAAUGCAUAGAUAUCACGCAGAACUCCGAUUGCGAAGGCAGCGUACCGGCAUCCAACUGACGCUGAGGCACGAAAGCGUGGGGAUCAAACAGG
rnacentral:rRNA from 1 species